CCUACGGGCGGCAGCAGUGAGGAAUAUUGGUCAAUGGGCGGGAGCCUGAACCAGCCAAGCCGCGUGAGGGAAGAAGGUACAGCGUAUCGUAAACCUCUUUUGUCAGGGAACAAAGGCGGGGACUAGUCCCCGGAUGAGGGUACCUGAAGAAAAAGCAUCGGCUAACUCCGUGCCAGCAGCCGCGGUAAUACGGAGGAGGCGAGCGUUAUCCGGUUUUAUUGGGUGUAAAGGGUGCGCAGGCGGUCUGUUAAGUCAGCGGUCAAAGCCCGGGGCUCAACCCCGGCCCGCCGUUGAAACUGGCAGUCUCGAGUUGGAGAGAAGUAUGCGGAAUGCGCGGUGUAGCGGUGAAAUGCAUAGAUAUCGCGCAGAACUCCGAUUGCGAAGGCAGCAUGCCGGCUCCACACUGACGCUGAGGCACGAAAGCGUGGGUAUCGAACAGGAUUAGAUACCCGGGUAGUC
rnacentral:rRNA from 1 species